GACGGGGGGGGCAAGUGUUCUUCGGAAUGACUGGGCGUAAAGGGCACGUAGGCGGUGAAUCGGGUUGAAAGUGAAAGUCGCCAAAAACUGGCGGAAUGCUCUCGAAACCAAUUCACUUGGGUGAGACAGAGGAGAGUGGAAUUUCGUGUGUAGGGGUGAAAUCCGCAAAUCUACGAAGGAAGGCCGAAAGCGAAGGCAGCUCUCUGGGUCCCUACCGACGCUGGGGUGCGAAAGCAUGGGAAGCGAACAGG
rnacentral:rRNA from 1 species